GACGAACGCUGGCGGCGUGCUUAACACAUGCAAGUCGAACGGUAAGGCCCUUCGGGGUACACGAGUGGCGAACGGGUGAGUAACACGUGGGUGAUCUGCCCUGCACUUCGGGAUAAGCCUGGGAAACUGGGUCUAAUACCGGAUAGGACCACUGCCUGCAUGGGUGGUGGUGGAAAGCUUUUGCGGUGUGGGAUGGGCCCGCGGCCUAUCAGCUUGUUGGUGGGGUGAUGGCCUACCAAGGCGACGACGGGUAGCCGGCCUGAGAGGGUGACCGGCCACACUGGGACUGAGAUACGGCCCAGACUCCUACGGGAGGCAGCAGUGGGGAAUAUUGCACAAUGGGCGCAAGCCUGAUGCAGCGACGCCGCGUGAGGGAUGGCGGCCUUCGGGUUGUAAACCUCUCUCAGCACCGACGAAGCGCAAGUGACGGUAGGUGCAGAAGAAGGACCGGCCAACUACGUGCCAGCCGCCGCGGUAA
rnacentral:rRNA from 1 species